UCACUGGUGGUCUAGUUGGAGGAUCCCACGCUCUCACCGCUGAGGCCCGGGUUCAAAUCCCGGGCAGGGAA